CCACCUGUCAGUCAGUUCUUCAGCAUAGACUCUAUGCCGAAGAAUUGACUGUUAAGGGAGAGUAGAAGAGACCUCCCCCAGGCAGUCAUCCUGCUCUCCACGCAGGGCAUGUGCUGUGGUUUCUAUGGUAACUCCCUAGUUGACGCUGCUUGCGCUAGCUAGGGAGUAUAGAAACAUAGUGAAUGAUGUCAACAAAGCUAGCAUGUCGGUGUCACAGAAGAGGUUUGCCCUUCUUGGACCAGGCAGAGCAUUACUCCCACAAAGCUGACGACGAAGACAUGACGAUGCUGGAUCUCAAAAUUUUACAUUGAAUGCAUCAUGUAUCUCUGUGAUGUAUGAUGUAUUCCUUGUAACUGGGGAGAUUUAGCUUUAGUCAAAAAUGUAAUAAGAGAUUCACUAUAAUAUUAAAAAAAUCACAUCGUGAGCUGUAUGACCAUCAUAGAAGAUUUCAAAAACAUGUCCAGUUGGAUCAAAUGGAGCUGGAGCGAAAACCUUAGUUUAUUUUUAAUUCAAACAGUUAUAUUUUUUUCCUACUGUUUAUACCCAUAUUUUUAUUUUUACUAACUUCACCGGAAGUUUUAUAUACAUGUGUAUGUGCAUACACAUAAGAAAAACUAGGAAAUACUUUUUCCUAUAGACUGU